GCUUCCCCUAGAGGCAUUGCAGGUGUGGCUACUGUGUCACCUGUGUCAGUAGGUGGCAGAGAGGAGAGGUUAAGUCUAUGCUCAGUGUUCUGACCUAGGAACAUCUGAAUGAUCUGUAGCCUUGCAUU